rnacentral:rRNA from 1 species
AAAUUGAAGAGUUUGAUCAUGGCUCAGAUUGAACGCUGGCGGCAGGCCUAACACAUGCAAGUCGAACGGUAACAGRAARCAGCUUGCUGCUUUGCUGACGAGUGGCAGACGGGUGAGUAAUGUCUGGGAAACUGCCUGAUGGAGGGGGAUAACUACUGGAAACGGUAGCUAAUACCGCAUAACGUCGCAAGACCAAAGAGGGGGACCUUCGGGCCUCUUGCCAUCGGAUGUGCCCAGAUGGGAUUAGCUUGUUGGUGGGGUAACGGCUCACCAAGGCGACGAUCCC